rnacentral:rRNA from 1 species
UGGUCAAGUUAUUAAGGGUGCAGGGCGGAUGCCUUGGCACUAGGAGCCGAUGAAGGACGUGAUAAGCUGCGAUAAGCUUCGGGGAGUUGCACGUAAACUUUGAUCCGAAGAUUUCCGAAUGAGGAAACUCACUUAGAGUAAUGUCUAAGUAUCAUUAAGUGAAUACAUAGCUUAAUGAGGGGAACUCAGGGAACUGAAACAUCUAAGUACCUGAAGGAAGAGAAAGAAAUUCGAUUCCGUAAGUAGCGGCGAGCGAACGCGGAUUAGCCCAAUCCAAU